UACGUAGGGUGCGAGCGUUGUCCGGAAUUAUUGGGCGUAAAGGGCUCGUAGGCGGUUUGUCGCGUCGGGAGUGAAAACCCAGGGCUUAACCCUGGGCUGGCUUCCGAUACGGGCAGACUAGAGGUAUGCAGGGGAGAACGGAAUUCCUGGUGUAGCGGUGAAAUGCGCAGAUAUCAGGAGGAACACCGGUGGCGAAGGCGGGUCUCUGGGCCGAUACUGACGCUGAGGAGCGAAAGCGUGGGGAGCGAACAGG
rnacentral:rRNA from 1 species